AUGGGGAAAUUGCAGAUGAGGUUGGAGGUUUUCACUGACAACAUCGUCAACAUGAUCACCAUAUUUCUCAUCAGUCACUUUAUCAGUCUUCUGGCUUCAGGUUCUUCUUCCACUGAACCUGUGAGCCAGACGCCACGAAACAUUCUCAGUAAACCAGGAGAACAAGCUGAAAUCUACUGCUCACACAGCAUUGACAGCUAUGACAGAAUCCUGUGGUACAAGCAGUCCCAGGGAGAGCUGCAGCUCCUCGGAUAUAUGUUUUUAAAAGAAGCCAAUCCAGAACCAGGACUGGACGUGAAGAUGCACGGAGAUGCAAACAAGAACAAGAACAGCACGUUAACCAUGGAGAAACUCCAAGUCAACAGCAGUGCAGUGUACUUCUGUGCAGCCAGUUACCACAGUGCUCCACAUCACUGCUCCUCAGUACUAAAACCUCCUCAUCAAACAUCAAACAUCCACUCACACCUGGAACUAACCAGCUGA